GAUGAACGCUAGCGAUAGGCUUAACACAUGCAAGUCGAGGGGCAGCAUGGUCUUAGCUUGCUAAGACUGAUGGCGACCGGCGCACGGGUGCGUAACGCGUAUGCAACUUGCCUCACAGAGGGGGAUAACCCGUCGAAAGACGGACUAAUACCGCGUACACUCCAUCUUGGGCAUCCAAGGUAGAGGAAAUGAAAUUCGCUGUGAGAUAGGCAUGCGUCCCAUUAGCUAGUUGGUGAGGUAACGGCUCACCAAGGCGACGAUGGGUAGGGGAACUGAGAGGUUGAACCCCCACACUGGUACUGAGACACGGACCAGACUACUACGGGAGGCAGCAGUGAGGAAUAUUGGUCAAUGGGCGAGAGCCUGAACCAGCCAAGUCGCGUGAGGGAUGACUGUCUUAUGGAUUGUAAACUUCUUUUAUACGGGAAUAACAAGAGUCACGUGUGACUCCCUGCAUGUACCGUAUGAAUAAGCAUCGGCUAACUCCGUG
rnacentral:rRNA from 1 species